UACAUUUCAAUAUUAAGGAUGAACACGAAUGCGGCCACUUUCCUUUUACACGAAAACCGUCUAAAAUUUAACUAAAAUGCUAGAAUUGUGACGAUUUCAGUAAUUAAGCAUGACUUUAUGGUGCUAGUACCCGAUAAAUGUGCAUUAAUAUGUCAAAAACAGCCAAUAUUUAUGUAGAAGAAGCAUUUUACUGUAUAAUGAAC
rnacentral:lncRNA from 1 species